rnacentral:rRNA from 2 species
ACGAGUUCUCGUUGAUGAUCGGUGCUUGCACCGAGAUUCAACAUGGAACGAGUGGCGGACGGGUGAGUAACACGUGGGUAACCUGCCCUUAAGUGGGGGAUAACAUUUGGAAACAGAUGCUAAUACCGCAUAGAUCCAAGAACCGCAUGGUUCUUGGCUGAAAGAUGGCGUAAGCUAUCGCUUUUGGAUGGACCCGCGGCGUAUUAGCUAGUUGGUGAGGUAAUGGCUCACCAAGGCGAUGAUACGUAGCCGAACUGAGAGGUUGAUCGGCCACAUUGGGACUGAGACACGGCCCAAACUCCUACGGGAGGCAGCAGUAGGGAAUCUUCCACAAUGGACGCAAGUCUGAUGGAGCAACGCCGCGUGAGUGAAGAAGGCUUUCGGGUCGUAAAACUCUGUUGUUGGAGAAGAAUGGUCGGCAGAGUAACUGUUGUCGGCGUGACGGUAUCCAACCAGAAAGCCACGGCUAACUACGUGCCAGCAGCCGCGGUAAUACGUAGGUGGCAAGCGUUAUCCGGAUUUAUUGGGCGUAAAGCGAGCGCAGGCGGUUUUUUAA